rnacentral:rRNA from 1 species
UACGUAGGGGGCUAGCGUUGUCCGGAUUUAUUGGGCGUAAAGAGCGUGUAGGCGGCCAGGUAGGUCUGCUGUGAAAACUCGAGGCUCAACCUCGAGACGUCGGCGGAAACCAUCUGGCUAGAGUCCGGAAGAGGAGAGUGGAAUCCUGGUGUAGCGGUGAAAUGCGCAGAUAUCAGGAAGAACACCCGUGGCGAAGGCGGCUCUCUGGGACGGUACUGACGCUGAGACGCGAAAGCGUGGGGAGCGAACAGG